rnacentral:rRNA from 1 species
GACGAACGCUGGCGGCGUGCUUAACACAUGCAAGUCGAACGAUGAUGCUGGAGCUUGCUCCAGUUGAUUAGGGGCGAACGGGUGAGUAACACGUGAGUAAUCUGCCCUUGACUCUGGGAUAACUGCGGGAAACUGUAGCUAAUACCGGAUACUUUCACCGGAAGGCAUCUUCUGGUGAUGAAAGAAUUUCGGUCAGGGAUGAGCUCGCGGCCUAUCAGCUUGUUGGUGAGGUAACGGCUCACCAAGGCGACGACGGGUAGCCGGCCUGAGAGGGUGACCGGCCACACUGGGACUGAGACACGGCCCAGACUCCUACGGGAGGCAGCAGUGGGGAAUAUUGCACAAUGGGCGCAAGCCUGAUGCAGCAACGCCGCGUGAGGGAUGAAGGCCUUCGGGUUGUAAACCUCUUUUAGCAGGAAAGAAGCGAAAGUGACGGUACCUGCAGAAAAAGCACCGGCUAACUACGUGCCAGCCGCCGCGGUAA